rnacentral:rRNA from 1 species
AUUGAACGCUGGCGGCAGGCCUAACACAUGCAAGUCGAACGAGUGGCGGACGGGUGAGUAAUGUCUGGGAAACUGCCCGAAGGAGGGGGAUAACUACUGGAAACGGUAGCUAAUACCGCAUACCAUCGGAUGUGCCCAGAUGGGAUGUGCUAGUAGGUGGGGUAACGGCUCACCUGGGCGACGAUCCCUAGCUGGUCUGAGAGGAUAACCAGCCAAACUGGAACUGGGACAAGGUCCAGACUCCUACUGGUGUCAGCUGUGGAGACUAUUGCACAAUGGGCUCAAGCCUGAUGCAGCCAUGCCGCGUGUAUGAAGAGGGGCUUCGGGUUGUAAAGUACUUUCAGCGAGGGGGCGUUACUCGCAGAAGAAGCACCGGCUAACUCCGUGCCAGCAGCCGCGGUAAUUC